GUUUUAAACCUCUCUAUAUAAUCUCACUGCCCCGGCUUACCCUUUCUCGUUGUCGUCGCAGCUUUUGAAGAAUUACGCAAAACACACAGAUUUUGAGCUGCAGAAAGAGACCCAUUUGGAAGCCUUUUCACCAUGAGAGCUAAGUGGAAGAAGAAGCGUAUGAGAAGGUUGAAGAGGAAGAGGA